rnacentral:sRNA from 1 species
GCCAGGCAUGGUGGUGUGGCGUAUGCCUGUAGUCCCAGCAACUGGGGAGGCUGAGGCAGGAAGAUCACAAGUUUGAGGCCAGCCUGGGCAACUUUGUGAGAUCCUGUUUCAA